UCAUGAAACUCUUUAUGUUCUUUCUGCCCCUGGGAAAAUUUGACAACACUGAAUCAUUCUAUUUUAUUCUUAAAUAGGAAACAAAAAUCUAGUGAAUACUACAGACUUGACUGACUCAGGAGCUCAAAGAUGUUUUCCAGGGCCCAUGUUCAGGAAGAACUGUCUGUAGACUGGCUGUAACCAUCCGCCAUCUGUAGGCUAGACAGGGUUUCACCAUGAUGGCCAGGCUGGUCUCGAACUCCUGGCCUCAAGUGAGUGACCCACCCGCCUUGGCCUCCCAAAGUGCUGGGGUUACAAGCAUGAGCCACCAUGCCUGGCUGGAUUUUACAUCUUUGAAGCAUUGAUGUUUAUAUGUUCUGGCUAGUAGUUAAUCUCUCGAGUUAAUUUUUGCAUAUGCUAUAAGGAAGGUGUCCACUUUUAUUCCUCUGCAUAUGGAUAGCCAGUUAUACGAGCACCAUUUAUCGAAUAGGGAAUCGUUUCCCCAUUGCUUACUUAUUUUAAAAAUUACUUAGUAAAUGAAAAAGCCUUCAUGUCUUAAAUGAAGGACUCUUUUUCUUUUAAAUCACAUUGAACAUUAACAGCUCAUUUUGGACCUUAACCAGUUGUUGAAUUUUAAUCCCAAAUUUUGUAAAUCAUACACACAAACUUGCAUAUAUGUCUGAUUGGUGGCCAUAUUUUCUUAUAUCCUCAAACAUUUUCUGC
rnacentral:lncRNA from 1 species